GGUAGUCGAGGGCUGGUUGCCCGAUCCCGGCUGAUAACCGGGCGGCGCUGAGUUCGAUCCUCAGGGCUACCAC
rnacentral:tRNA from 1 species